rnacentral:lncRNA from 10 species
CCAAAGAGUAUUCUGUGCAAUGAAAGCACACAAAUUAAGAUAUUCUGUGUCAACAGUGAUUAGGAGCUUGAGGAAUGUUAAUUGUACAAGGGAGCAAACAUAAAAUAACAACAGAAAGAAAUUAAAUAAUACAAUAAUGAAAUUUUCAAAAUUUGGUGUGAAGGAAAGAGAACUUGGUGUCUUAUUGAAGGGAAAUAUAUAUUUUUAUUAGAAAAGGUGAAACCACUGGUUUCUUAUGGUGUCUUUAAAAAUUACAAGUAUGCCUUAUAUUAGUUAUAUUCCUACAUUUAAUAAGCCAAUGCUUAUUUUUAUUCUUUUAUAAUUAAUGGAGCUUCAUGUUUCUCAACACUUAAAACUUACUUACGUUUAUAGAUUUUUAAGUAUUGCUUAUUUCAAGGGAGGAGCAGCAAAGGCCACAGAAUCAAAGUCAAGAAAGCCAAAGGUUGUGGACUGGUUCGCUGGUUCUGAACUUGCUGCUAGUUGUGGACUCGCUGCCGGUGACAAUACCACAUUCUUCAUUCUAUACAGGAGGUCUCUAUCAAUACAUCUUCAAGCCCACUGAUUCUUUCCUUGGCCAUGUCUAAUUUACAGCACACAUCUGUUGAUUCUAGUUCUUUCAUCUAGAGAUCCUGAAAAAAAAACAAAAGAAAAGCCAUUUAUUCAUUCCACAAAAAUUGUUGAAGUGCUUCUUAUGGUCUUCAAAUAGUUACUGCUGCUUUCUGCAGGCACAUUUCUUGAACUAAAGGAUAAAACAAUAUUACCAAGAUUCACAAAUGAUUCUAAAAAAAUAUUGGUGAUUCUAAGACAGAAGGCAUACUUGUGACAAAAGAAAAAUCCUUAAGAAAUAAAAUGAAGACCAAACAGAAAAAAGGUUAGUGAUACAUUCUUUAAAUAGUGGCUAAUUUUUUUUCUAAGUUCUCAGAGAAGAAACAUUGAAAAUUGGUCACAUAAAUAGAACAUCAGUAUAACCUCCUGAGAUUUUAUUGCAUCUGUCAAAUGAUUAAAUGAGAAAACCUGUAUAAAACAUUGAGAAGAUUAUCUGUUAUAUAGGAAAUAUUUAAAAUACUUUUACUUUUAUUAUAUAUAUAUGCAUGGUUGAGUUUUAUGGUAAAAGGCAUCUAGUUCUUAUAUUAUCAUAUGGGUGCAGUGUUUCUCAAUAAUCCUUUCAUCACAACACCACCCUCAGUUUUAUAACUUUUCUAAUUAUUUUUAUGGAAGUAUUAACAUUGACUCAAUUAUACCUGACAGGGUCCAUCAUCACAUCUGUUUCUAGAAUGAGGAAAAAAAACACAAAAAACAGAAAGAUGCCCCUUUGAUAGAAUACUACUUUCAGAGGAUUCUAUCUGAACAUAGGAGAUAAAACUAGACCAAUCUAGGAAGGAUAGCUUGUGGUUAUUACAGAAACACAUGGACACAGGAAGGGGAACAUCACACACCAGGGACUGUUGUGGGGUGGGGGGCGGGGGAGGGAUAGCAUUGGGAGAUACACCUAGUGCUAAACGACGAGUUGAUGGGUGCAGCACACCAACAUGGCACAUGUAUACAUAUGUAACAAACCUGCACGUUGUGCACAUGUACCCUAAAACUUAAAGUAAUAUAAUAAUAAAAAAAGAAAAUUUGAAUUUAUUUCCCUAUAAAUAGGAUAAGUGGGUAAUAUUAAUAAAAUAGUUACUAUAGUUAAAAACUAUACAAAUAUAUAUUUAUGUAUUAUUCACUCUAAUGCUUUUAUUUUUUUACAUAUACUCAGAUAGUUAAAAAACACCCUGUGCCUAUAUCUUUAUAGCUAAAAAGUAGUCAUCAAUAUUACUGUUUUCAAAGUAUGUAUAAACAAAUAAACUUGACUUUUUUUUCCUAAGAAAAAGAUAUUUACAUAGCCUAAUUCUUAGGAGAAUAGAGUUAUAUUAUAAAUAAAUAAUUUAGUUCUGAGUCUGAAAAAUCAAUAGCUAACUUUUUCCUGCUACAUAUCUGUUCCCUUAGGUCAUGAAAGCACUUUUAUUUUCCUUUCUAAGCAGGUAAACCAGAUAGAUAUUUUGAUGUUAGAAAGAUUUUUAUAAAAAUGUUUUCCAUGAACUUUAUAAUCAUAUGACUUUGGGGGAAGUGCAGAUUAACAUGUAUAUAUUUAUACAUUUAACAAAGCAUCACACAGUUAAAUUUAAAAUAAAAGGAAAAUAGAUAAAUAAAAAAACAAUUCAUUUGAAUUUAUUUUGUCUUUAGCAAGUAGCUUUAGUUCUCUAAAUGAAGUUCAAAUAUUUAGGGUUUAAUAGGUUAGUGAACUCACCUAUACUAAUACAUGGUUUGCAACUGUGUACAUGUUCAUAGGAUUAUUGGUUAAAAGUCAUAAACAAACUAGGCUGUUUGGCCAUGCUCCUCUUCACCCUUAUCUACAACCACUAUUUUUAUUUGAAUUCAAGCAUAAAUACAUUUAAUUUGGAAGUUAUACUGUAUAUUUUUUAAUUUUGAAUUUUUCCUUUUAAGGGACUGUGAAGGUCAUUGUGGAUUGAUUACCUUAUUAGACAAUAGUUAGUGAAAUUGUGAAACUGCCUUUCUUGAUGGGGAAUAAGAGGGUUGCAACUCUACAUUGAACUUUGCUGAAAGGGACUUCUUUCCUAUGUUCUCAUUUAUGGAAAAUAGGUUAAAUCAUUUUAUUCAGACAGAACAGAAUUUCAACAUGAAUCUCAUUAUGUCUUAACUAUGUAAUCAAAGGAAAAUUAUUUUGAAUUUAAGAUCGUUAUUUGCAAAAUGGGCAUAAUAAUAAUUCUGUCAGGAUUUAUGUGAAAACUACAUGAGAAAAGCAUCUAAAGUUAUUUAGUCUUAUGCUUAAUAUGUAUUUAGAAUUAAAAUUGUAAAUUUGCUUUUGUGAAAUAACCUAUUUGUCAUAGUCUUUUUUAAUUUUUUAAUUUUUAAUGUUUGUGUGUAUAUGUAUUUGUGGGGUACAUGUGAUGUUUUGAAUACAGACAUGCAAUGUGAAAUAAUCACAUGGAGAGUGGGAUAUACAUCUGCUCAAGCAUUUACUCUUUGUGUUACAAACAAUUCAAUUACGCUCUUUUAGUUAUCUUAAAAUUUACUAUUAUGUUAUUCUUAGGUAUUUGAACCAACUGAGACAUUAGAUUAUUUCUCCCUAGAUUAUGAACAUCAUUUGAGUAAACAAAUAAAAGCAAAUAAAAUAAUUGCUGGAGUUGGCUAAACAACUUUCUUGCCAAAAGUAGUACAAGAAGCAUACUUUCAUUAGUCAUUAAAACCUUGGUUUCUUAUCUUCACUGACCCCUUGUAUUAUGUAUGUAUAGUAUGUAUAUAUACACACACAUACAUACAUAUAUAUAUGUUUAUAAUGCACAUACACACAUACGUAUAUGUAUAUACUUCAUGAUAUCACUAUUUUUCAAUACAUUAAUUUUGUGCUUACUUUUUCAGAGAUAGUUUUUAGGCUAUUAUCCAUGAUAAUGUACAAUAACUAAAAUCAAAUAUGUAUUUUAAUUUAAUUUGUAUUUCUCUUUAUCAAAUUUUUUAGGUUUUAUUCAGCUUUUCACUCAAAACUGAGGUGAUAAUAUCUGAGUCACACAGAUUUUUCCAUAUUUUCUAUAGUUUAUACACACAUAUAUAAACAUAUUAUUUCUGUAAUAUUAAUUAUGAUGAAGAGACUUAAAAACUAUGCAUGUAAAAUGUGGUUAAUAUAGAAAUAGUUAUAGAUAAUCAGAAGUCCUGAAAAAAUGUAGGUAACAUUAUAGGCUAGUAAGAAUCACUAUGAUGUUUUCAGAAAGAAAAUACCUUGAAGAGAAAGUAAUUUAUUAUUUUUUGUAGGACAGGCUGGUGUUGCAAAAUGAUGAAUAGGAAAUUAUUCCUUCAGUUAAACUUAGAGUUGAUAAUAACGAAAGAGAAAGGAAGAGGCAAAUUGAAAAUCUUUAGGUGCAAAGAAAAAACAAAAAGUAUGCUCUAAGUACCAAUAAGGUUAGAUAUGAAAAGCAGCUAUACCUUGAGUAUUGCUUAUGAUUAUGAUCAUAUUUAUGUCACUUUUAAAUAUUUUAUUUAUAUUUUCCAUUAAUAGUCAAUGGAAUAUUAUAUAUACAAGCAAAAAUCAUGUAAACUUCUGUAAAUGGUUUCUAAAAAUAUAAUCUUUUACUUCUGCUAGCCAAGAUACCAUAAUUACUAUCAUAAUUCAUCAUAUUCCCAAGCUAGUACCAAAAUAUGUGUCUAUUUAAUAUAUACACAUACGUGUAUAUAUUUAAACCUGUCAUGAUUAGGAACAAAGAUCUAUCAUACCAAGGAAAGCUGAAAUUUAUUUGUUAGUUAACAGGCCUUUUAGGCACACAAGCUUCUACAUAUUAUAAAAAUUGUUAUGCUUUUCUCUUACUCAAUUCCUAUUUCCAACAGUAGCUCAUUUUGUUCAUAUGCACUGUGAAGACAUUUUAAUUCUGAUUCAUACCACCUUUCACAUUUGCUUUCUGUGGGAAAAAUACAUGUCCUGUCAUCAUAAAUUCUACCCUGCAAACUUUUUUCUUUACUGCAGUCUUCCUAUUCAGAACCAUGCUACUCAUCACUUGACAGGAUACAAAAUGUAAUGGUCAUAAAAGUAAAGUCUGCUAACUUUCACUCCUGACAAUUUGUCAAAAGACACAUUAAAAAUAAUUGGAGAGAAACUGCACAGAUUUUUAAAAUGUAUUGAGUCAUUUUUCUUCAAUGCCUGACUGGUCAGCUUGUAAGAUACCAUUCUCACCAUUAUUAAGAAGCCAAGACUACUGCUUUAAUAAAAAAAAAAAAUAUAUAUGCACUGUUUUGCACUCAUCUUGCUCUUGGGGUUUGCUGCAAUAGACUUCUGAAUUAUCUGGAAAGUCAACAAGUAAAACAGUCCUUUAGUACAUGACUAAUUUAUGUUUCCAAUUUUACCCUUCAUUUAAAUGUACGUAUUUCUCAACUACUAGUAAUAUCAUAAAUACCACCUGAAGUAGAAAUAAUAAACCUAUAAUAUGUUUCUUUCUAUAUUUUCAUUAACAGUCUAAUGUCUUAUUAUAAUUUUAAAUACUUCAACUGUUAUAUAUGUUCUAAGCUUAUUUAAUCAUAAAUCAACAUUUUAAAACAUAUAAUAGAUAGUUGUGACAUUGUUGUAUAGCCAUAUAUAUCUCAUGGGAGCCUGUAAGAUAAAACAAAUGGCAUAAACUGAUGAACUCUAUGGAGAGGUAAGCAAUAUUCUUUGGAAUUUCAAAUGAGAAAAGCAAAACUGCAUUAGGAAAUUGGCAAUCUGGGAAUAAAAGAUAGGUAGCAUAAAAGAGCAGGAUGUAUGAAUUUGAGUUAAUGUGCUAGAUAAAAUCAUGGAAUCAGAAUGAUAUAUUUUCAUUUAUUCUUAAAGAAUGUUAAGAUAGGGAUUAUUUCUGUAUUAUAAUUAUAAACUCAAUGACAUAUUAAGUAUUGAUAAUCAACAAGAUUUUAAAUAACAGAAUUAUUAAUGUUCCACAGACUUCCUGUAGCUGUGAAAUAGUAAGUAUUAAAUUAUAGCAAUAAUUACCACAGUCAUGUUAACUGUUGCCAUACUUAUCAUGACAUGUGAUUUUUAAAGGUAGGAAGUAGAAAAUUCUUUCAUAAUAUUCCAAGAAGCUAGUUGGUUAAGAUACUAAAAAUUAGCUUCUGAAAACGUGUAAUACAUUUCUGAAUGAAGCUAUGGAAAUAUUUUUUAAAAGUUCUUGAGUUUUCACAGAUAAUUUUGAGAAAAAAUAUUAUGGAGCUUAAAAUAAGUCUAAUGAUAAGUAUCAUUAAUGAAUAUAUAUCUUCAUACAUAGUGUUAAUAUUUAUGAUAAAUAUAAUAUAAUUCUCUUUUGCCUUUUUUGAUGAAUCUUUCUCAUUGGAUUCCCUUAGUAAAUUAAAUCUCCACACUUUAAAAAAUGUUUUUUGGCAG